rnacentral:rRNA from 1 species
CAGUCGCCGCGGGAACACGUAGGUGGCAAGCGUUGUCCGGAAUUAUUGGGCGUAAAGGGCUCGCAGGUGGUUUCUUAAGUCUGAUGUGAAAGCCCCCGGCUCAACCGGGGAGGGUCAUUGGAAACUGGGAAACUUGAGUGCAGAAGAGGAGAGUGGAAUUCCACGUGUAGCGGUGAAAUGCGUAGGGAUGUGGAGGAACACCAGUGGCGAAGGCGACUCUCUGGUCUGUAACUGACGCUGAGGAGCGAAAGCGUGGGGAGCGAACAGGAUUAGAGACCCGUGUAGUCCUGUCUCUUAUACA